rnacentral:rRNA from 1 species
GGAAUCUUCCACAAUGGACGCAAGUCUGAUGGAGCAACGCCGCGUGAGUGAAGAAGGCUUUCGGGUCGUAAAACUCUGUUGUUGGAGAAGAAUGGUCGGCAGAGUAACUGUUGUCGGCGUGACGGUAUCCAACCAGAAAGCCACGGCUAACUACGUGCCAGCAGCCGCGGUAAUACGUAGGUGGCAAGCGUUAUCCGGAUUUAUUGGGCGUAAAGCGAGCGCAGGCGGUUUUUUAAGUCUGAUGUGAAAGCCCUCGGCUUAACCGAGGAAGCGCAUCGGAAACUGGGAAACUUGAGUGCAGAAGAGGACAGUGGAACUCCAUGUGUAGCGGUGAAAUGCGUAGAUAUAUGGAAGAACACCAGUGGCGAAGGCGGCUGUCUGGUCUGUAACUGACGCUGAGGCUCGAAAGCAUGGGUAGCGAACAGGAUUAGAUACCCUGGUAGUCCAUGCCGUAAACGAUGAAUGCUAGGUGUUGGAGGGUUUCCGCCCUUCAGUGC